CAUGUUCAUACGUCGAGGAUACCGGCUGGAAACGGCUGCUAAGACUGGAUAGGAAUAUUGAAGGCAUCUUUAAUAUUUUAAAGGACUACUUAGGUAGUACGCGAAUGAGGUGACUUGCGGCGCAUUAGCUAGUUGGUGAGAUAGAAGCUCACCAAGGCGAAUGAUGCGUAGCCGGACUGAGAGGUUGAACGGCCACAUUGGGACUGAGACACGGCCCAGACUCCUACGGGAGGCAGCAGUAGGGAAUUUUCGGCAAUGGGGGGAACCCUGACCGAGCAACACCGCGUGAAUGAAGAAGUACUUCGGUACGUAAAGUUCUUUUAUUGGGGAAGAAUGACUAGUGGAAAAACUAGAGUGACGGUACCCAAUGAAUAAGCCCCGGCUAACUAUGUGCCAGCAGCCGCGGUAAUACAUAGGGGGCAAGCGUUAUCCGGAAUUAUUGGGCGUAAAGGGUGCGUAGGUGGUAUGUUAAGUUUGAGGUAUAAGCUCAUGGCUCAACCAUGGGAGGCUUCAGAAACUGGCAAACUAGAGUGCAGUAGAGGCAAGUGGAAUUCCAUGUGUAGCGGUAAAAUGCGUAAAUAUAUGGAGGAACACCAGUGGCGAAGGCUGCUUGCUG
rnacentral:rRNA from 1 species